rfam:Myotis lucifugus cont2.1213, whole genome shotgun sequence.
CGUGUGCCGGUGGGGUCCCUCAGCCUGGCCUGCACCCUCUCACAAUCUGGGAUCCCCUGGGAGAUGUCGGAGAGCCGGUUUCGGCCCGAUCCAGCAGGCCAGGCUGAGGGACCUCACUGGUGCACU